rnacentral:rRNA from 1 species
AACAAACGCUGGCGGCGUGCCUAAUACAUGCAAGUCGAACGGGGAAAGCUUUCGGGUGAGUACUAGUGGCGCACGGGUGAGGAACGCGUGGAUAAUCUGCCUUAGAGUGGGGGAUAACUAGUCGAAAGAUUAGCUAAUACCCCAUAAGACCACAGGAGCUGCGGCUCUAGGGGUCAAAGGUUUUUCGCUCUAAGAUGAGUCAGCGUAAGAGUGGCUAGUUGGUGAGGUAACGGCUCACCAAGGCGACGACCUUUAACUGGUCUGAGAGGAUGAUCAGUCACACUGGAACUGAGACACGGUCCAGACUCCUACGGGAGGCAGCAGUAGGGAAUAUUGCACAAUGGAGGAAACUCUGAUGCAGCGACGCCGCGUGAGUGAUGAAGGCCUUCGGGUCGUAAAGCUCUGUCGCAGGGGAAUAACACAAUGAAUGUACCCUGUAAGAAAGGAUCGGCUAACUUCGUGCCAGCAGCCGCGGUAAAAC